GGAGAGGUGCCCGAGAGGCCGAAGGGAGCCGCCUGCUAAGCGGUUGUACCGCCAAAAGCGGUACCGAGGGUUCGAAUCCCUCCCUCUCCG
rnacentral:tRNA from 1 species